AUGCGAUUAAGCAGCUUCGAAUCGGAUUCUACUCCGCUGCAAAGUCACUUCGAACCGACACACGCUAACAGUUCAAACCGGACUCCUACUAAAAAGUCAAUUCGAACCGCACAGACUAUUCAGGUUAACCUGACUGCACAUGUACAUAUACUAUGCAUACGAGAAAACGAAUACAAGACGAUGAUCGAUACGAUGUCGCAGCCGGGCGAACGUGCCACCGAAAACACGACUCUGGACGACGACGUGGUAACGGAGAUCCUGCUGAGGCUGCCGUCCGCCUCCGUGUUCCGCUCCCGGGCCGUCUGCAAGGCGUGGCGCCGCAUCACGACGGACCCCUCGUUCCUCGCCGCCCACGCCGACCGGCGCCCAGCCGAGCUGCUCGUCGUAUCAAGAGGGGAACCAUCUUUUCUAGACGCCAUCCCGCUGUCUCUGCAAGUCGACGACUUGACGAGGCGCCGGAGCCAACUCCAUCACCCCGAGGGCUGUGAGAUCGGUGUCCUGCUGGGUUGCUGCGACGGGCUCGUGCUGUUCCGGAAAUCCUCUCAAGAUUUGUUAAGCAACGAUGUCUUCUUGUGCAACCCGGUGACCAGGCAGUGGGCGAGGUUGGACGUGACGCCACCUUCUUGCGCGGCCUGGCCAGGCCGUGCUGCUUCUACAGGCACCGCCCAUCAGGCGAGCACCGGCUUCUCGUUCUCGCCGCCGCCGCCACCUCGCAACCUCCUCGCCGUCUCGGGCCCGUGGCUGACGGUGUAG
rnacentral:rRNA from 1 species